rnacentral:rRNA from 1 species
AUUGAACGCUGGCGGCGUGCCUAAUACAUGCAAGUCGAACGCAGUGGGGACGGGUGAGUAACACGUGGGUCACCUCGCAUCAGAGGGGAUACCACUUGGAAACAGGUGCUAAACCGAUACUGAUGGAUGGACCCGCGGUGCAUUAGCUAGUUGGUGAGGUAACGUCUCACCAAGGCCAAGAUGCAUAGCCGACCUGAGAGGGUGAUCGGCCACACUGGGACUGAGACACGGCCCAGACUCCUACGGGAGGCAGCAGUAGGGAAGCUUCGGCAAUGGACGAAAGUGUGACCGAGCAACGCCGCGUGAGUGAAGAAGGUUUUCGGAUCGUAAAACUCUGUUGUUAGAGAAGCGGUAUCUAACCAGAAAGCCACGGCUAACUACGUGCCAGCAGCCGCGGUAAUUC